UCCGAAGGUGGCGAUGGUUGUUCGGAUUCACUGGGCAUAAAGGGCGCGUAGGCGGUGCUGGAAGCGGCGUGUGAAAUUCCGGGGCUCAACCCCGGAACGGCGCGCCGGACUGCGGUGCUCGAGUGCGGGAGGGGGGUGCGGAACUCUAGGUGGAGCGGUGAAAUGCGUAGAUAUCUAGAGGAACACCGGUGGCGAAAGCGACACCCUGGCCCGCAACUGACGCUGAGGCGCGAAAGCGUGGGUAGCAAACAGG
rnacentral:rRNA from 1 species